UGAAGGGAGCCAUCAAGCACAGUCUGCUCACAUUCAUUCGGGGACAACGCGGUUGCAAGCUGCUGGCUUUCAAUGGCCACAACUACGUGAGAAACCGUCGCAGCAACCUGAAGACCUACUGGAUAUGCUCCAAAAAGGGCAGCACAAAAUGCAAUGCUCGCGUGGUGACCAACGUAGUUGAAGGAGUGCACAAGAUUGUGCUGGAAUCGUGUCAUCACACCUGUCUCAACACGGAGCGCAAGAAGCGGCUUUCGGUGACCACUGUCGUGGGAAAGUCGCGCAACAAGCCGGGGAAAACAGCCUUUGCUAAGGAUGAGCCCGACGAGGAUCUCACGCUGGAACUGCGGACCCUAAACUUAAGCAUCGAGGAUCUGCACAAUCUGCAGUGAAUAUAGAGACUCAAAAUCUAGCCAUAACUACUUAUAUGCGAAUUUAAAAUAAACUUUUUGUCCCGUG